rnacentral:rRNA from 1 species
AUUGGACAAUGGGGGCAACUCUGAUCCAGCCAUGUCGCGUGUGUGUAGAAGGUCUUCGGAUUGUAAAGCACUUUAAGUUGGGAGGAAGGGCUUUAGGUUAAUACCCUGAAGUUUUGACGUUACCAACAGAAUAAGCACCGGCUAACUCUGCUCUAGCAGCCGCGGUAAUACAGAGGGUGAACGCGUUAAUCGGAAUUACUGGGCGUAAAGCUCGCGUAGGUGGUUCAGUAAGAUGGAUGUGAAAUCCCCGGGCUUAACCUGGGAACUGCUUUCAUAACUGCUGAGCUAGAGUACGGUAGAGGGUAGUGGAAUUUCCUGUGUAGCGGUGAAAUGCGUAGAUAUAGGAAGGAACACCAGUGGCGAAGGCGACUACCUGGACUGAUACUGACACUGAGGUGCGAAAGCGUGGGGAGCAAAC